UAGUGAGUUUGAUCCUGGCUCAGGAUGAACGCUGGCGGUCUGCUUAACACAUGCAAGUCGAACGCAAGUAGAAAUACUUGAGUGGCGGACGGGUGAGUAACGCGUGAGAAUCUGCCUCUAGGUUCGGGACAACAGUUGGAAACGGCUGCUAAUACCGGAUAUGCCUAUGGGUGAAAGAUUAAUUGCCAGAAGAAGAGCUCGCGUCUGAUUAGCUAGUAGGAGUGGUAACGGCACCCCUAGGCGACGAUCAGUAGCUGGUCUGAGAGGAUGAUCAGCCACACUGGGACUGAGACACGGCCCAGACUCCUACGGGAGCAGCAGUCGGGAAUUU
rnacentral:rRNA from 1 species